GAUGAACGCUGGCGGCGUGCCUAAUACAUGCAAGUCGAGCGAACAGACGAGGAGCUUGCUCCUCUGACGUUAGCGGCGGACGGGUGAGUAACACGUGGAUAACCUACCUAUAAGACUGGGAUAACUUCGGGAAACCGGAGCUAAUACCGGAUAAUAUAUUGAACCGCAUGGUUCAAUAGUGAAAGACGGUUUUGCUGUCACUUAUAGAUGGAUCCGCGCCGCAUUAGCUAGUUGGUACGGUAACGGCUUACCAAGGCAACGAUGCGUAGCCGACCUGAGAGGGUGAUCGGCCACACUGGAACUGAGACACGGUCCAGACUCCUACGGGAGGCAGCAGUAGGGAAUCUUCCGCAAUGGGCGAAAGCCUGACGGAGCAACGCCGCGUGAGUGAUGAAGGUCUUCGGAUCGGAAAACUCUGUUAUUAGGGAAGAACAAAUGUGUAAGUAACUAGGCACGUCGUGACGGUACCUAAUCAGAAAGCCACGGCUAACUACG
rnacentral:rRNA from 1 species